UACGUAGGGUGCAAGCGUUGUCCGGAAUUAUUGGGCGUAAAGAGCUCGUAGGCGGUCUGUCGCGUCUGGUGUGAAAAUCCAGGGCUUAACCCUGGACCUGCAUCGGGUACGGGCAGACUAGAGUGCGGUAGGGGAGAUCGGAAUUCCUGGUGUAGCGGUGAAAUGCGCAGAUAUCAGGAGGAACACCGGUGGCGAAGGCAGAUCUCUGGGCCGUAACUGACGCUGAGGAGCGAAAGCAUGGGGAGCGAACAGG
rnacentral:rRNA from 1 species